CAGCAUGUUUCCAAGGGCUGUUUGGCUAUGGCCAUGGGAUCUUCAACUGCACUGGAGAGCAACCCCAAGAGACUUUGAUAGCACAGGUCUGUGUAAUACCUACCUGCAGCUGCUAGAACAGCUCAGGGGAGGAA